GUGUCAGCAGCCGCGGUAAGACAGAGGGUGCAAACGUUGUUCGGAUUUACUGGGCGUAAAGCGUGUGUAGGCGGCUUCGCAAGUUGGAUGUGAAAUCCCACGGCUCAACCGUGGACGUGCAUCCAAAACUGCGUCGCUAGAGUCUCGGAGAGGAAGGUGGAAUGCUUGGUGUAGAGGUGAAAUUCGUAGAUAUCAAGCAGAACACCUGCGGCGAAGGCGGCCUUCUGGACGAUGACUGACGCUGAGACACGAAAGCGUGGGGAGCAAACAGGAUUAGAUACCCUGGUAGUCC
rnacentral:rRNA from 1 species